rnacentral:rRNA from 1 species
GACGGACCACCCGAACGUAUUCGGAAUCACUGGGCUUAAAGGGUGCGUAGGCGGCGUAGUAAGUCGGGUGUGAAAUCCCCCAGCUUAACUGGGGAAUUGCGCCCGAAACUGUUGCGCUCGAGGGAGACAGAGGUGAGCGGAACUGAUGGUGGAGCGGUGAAAUGCGUUGAUAUCAUCAGGACACCGGUGGCGAAAGCGGCUCACUGGGUCUCUCUGACGCU